AUACCAUCUUGUAAAUCGCGGGUUCCAAACCUAUUUCAUUCCAUUUAUCCCUGGCAACUUAAAUAGCA